rnacentral:rRNA from 1 species
GUGCCAGCAGCCGCGGUAAGACGGAGGAGGCUAGCGUUGUUCGGAAUUACUGGGCGUAAAGCGCGCGCGGGCGGCCAAGCAAGUCAGGGGUGAAAGCCCGGGGCUCAACCUCGGAACGGCCUUUGCGACUGCUUGGCUUGAGACCGGAAGAGGAGAGUGGAAUUCCCAGUGUAGAGGUGAAAUUCGUAGAUAUUGGGAAGAACACCAGUGGCGAAGGCGGCUCUCUGGUCCGGUACUGACGCUGAGGCGCGAAAGCGUGGGGAGCAAACAGGAUUAGAUACCCUGGUAGUCC